rnacentral:rRNA from 1 species
AGCAGCCGCGGUAAUUCCAGCUCCAAUAGCGUAUAUUAAAGUUGUUGCAGUUAAAAAGCUCGUAGUUGAAUUUCGGGGUCAGUAGGUCGGUCGUGCCACAGGUAUGCACUGGUCUCACUGAUUCCUCCUUCCUGAUGAACCGUAAUGCCAUUAAUUUGGUGUUGCGGGGAGACUGGACUGUUACUUUGAAAAAAUUAGAGUGUUUAAAGCAGGCUAACGCUUGAAUACAUUAGCAUGGAAUAACGAAAUAGGACGUUUGAUUCUAUUUUGUUGGUUUCUAGGAUCGACGUAAUGAUUAAUAGGGAUAGUUGGGGGCAUUAGUAUUCAAUUGUCAGAGGUGAAAUUCUUGGAUUUAUUGAAGACUAACUACUGCGAAAGCAUUUGCCAAGGAUGUUUUCAUUAAUCAAGAACGAAAGUUAGGGGAUCGAAGACGAUCAGAUACCGUCGUAGUCUUAACCAUAAACUAUGCCGACUAGGGAUCGGAUGAUGUUAUUUUUAAUGACUCAUUCGGCGCCUUACG